GAUGAAGAACGGCAGCGAAAUGCGAUAAGUAAUGUGAAUUGCAGAAUUCAGUGAAUCAUCGAAUCUUUGAACGCACAUUGCGCCCCCUGGUAUUCCGGGGGGCAUGCCUGUCCGAGCGUCAUUACAACCCUCAAGCUCAGCUUGGUGUUGGGCCCCGCCGCCCCGGCGGGCCCUAAAGUCAGUGGCGGUGCCGUCCGGCUCCGAGCGUAGUAAUUCUUCUCGCUCUGGAGGUCCGGUCGUGUGCUUGCCAGCAACCCCCAAUUUUUUUCAGGUUGACCUCGGAUCAGGUAGGGAUACCCGCUGAACUUAAGCAUAUCAAUAAGCGGAGGA
rnacentral:misc_RNA from 1 species